GUUCGUUUCGUUAUCAAAACUACCUGUUUUCAUGUCGGUUCUUGCAGACCUAUUGUCAAUCUCUAAAAUCUUGCUCAAUUAUCCAGUUUUCCUAAUGUAUUACAGUUUUAUUUUCUAAAUGCAUGCAAUCAUUAUCCAAUUAGUAUCUGAAGGAGGUUUUCGUGCUCUCUAAUAGCUGCUGCAGAGCGACGUAUGGCUAUUAUUACUGUAUUGUUUCUGAUAUGAAGAUCGUUUUUGACAAGCUGCAGCUUCAUAAAAAGAUUGCCUGCUUUGGAUUCCUGACUGAUGGAUACAGGAAAGAAAUCAAAGAAUGUGAGACUUCUGAAAUGAAUCUUGCCUCUUCAAGAGUGUAAGCCGGCCUUCCAAGAUAACUCCUGGUGAAAAUUAACUUUUACUUGGAUUGUACAGAAUAUUUUUGAUUCGUCUGAAAAAUUAAAGAAACCAGCAAAAAGUCCCACUGGAAAUGUAAUUAUGACACUACCGUACCAAUAAUUUCAGUUCUUGAUAGAAUUCAACAAAAAAAUAAAUAUUUUUACGCUA